GACGCCAAGAAUUGAAAUCUAAUCACGACAAAACUGAAAGAUUCACACACACACACACACUUGUAUACAGUGUGUAUCAAACGUUGUGCUGAAUGCUUGAUCACAUUGUUGGCAUAUUUAUUUGUUCUUUGUCCAACUGAAAUCAUUUCUACUGUUUAAAAGGAAGGUGAAAAAAAAGUGUAUUUUGGGAAAUGUCAGAAAUGCUCUUUUUGGUCUCAGGGGUGUGUUUGUGUUUGAUUGACAGCAGCUGGCAGGCAAAGUAAACACACUUUUACUGUUCACAAGGCACGGACAGUGUGUGACGAGUGAGGACUGGAUUUGCAGAAGAACAUUAAUAUUUCCUGAAGACGUGAUGGCUACCUGGAGAAUCAUCUGCAGCAAAGCUCACUGCAGCACGGGCCACCGCAGGCUCAACAUAAACCUCCAGCUCUCCAUCUGAGCGCUGAUUGGACGGUGGGACUUGCUCGUGAACGCGCCGGCGUGGACACGCUGCCUGUGUUUCCAGGAGACUCUUCUACGUGCCCGCGCGAGCCUCCUGCCCCUGUGCUGUAAUUUAUAAGAAGCUUCGCGUGCCCGCCAGUGGAAUGCGCGCACCCGCUAACACCCCCCCACCCCCCCCCCCCUUCCCAGCCCCCCUUGCAGCUCAUGUCCGACGCUAAGUGGAGUGCACCACUGAUGUAGAUUAUAAAAUGUAAAAUAUCUGAAGCUUUCUCUACUUUUAUUUGAAGUUGU
rnacentral:lncRNA from 1 species